rnacentral:rRNA from 1 species
GACGAACGCUGGCGGCGUGCUUAACACAUGCAAGUCGAACGGAAAGGCCUCUUUCGGGGGGUACUCGAGUGGCGAACGGGUGAGUAACACGUGAGUAACCUGCCCUUGACUUUGGGAUAACUUCAGGAAACUGGGGCUAAUACCGGAUAGGAGCUCCUGCUGCAUGGUGGGGGUUGGAAAGUUUCGGCGGUUGGGGAUGGACUCGCGGCUUAUCAGCUUGUUGGUGGGGUAGUGGCUUACCAAGGCUUUGACGGGUAGCCGGCCUGAGAGGGUGACCGGCCACAUUGGGACUGAGAUACGGCCCAGACUCCUACGGGAGGCAGCAGUGGGGAAUAUUGCACAAUGGGUGGAAGCCUGAUGCAGCAACGCCGUGUGCGGGAUGACGGCCUUCGGGUUGUAAACCGUUUCGCUCAUGACGAAGCUUUGUGUGACGGUAGUGGGUAAAGAAGCACCGGCUAACUACGUG